GCUGGGCAUGGAGAUGCACACCUGUAAUCCCAGCACUCGGGAGGCUGAGGCAGGAGGAUCGCUGUGAAUUCAAGACCAGCCUGGGCUACAUAGUGAGUUCUAGGUCAGUCUCAACCACAUAGUGAGACCUGUCUCAAAAAAAAAAAGAAAAAAAAAAGGUGGUUUCACUAUGUGGUUGAGACUGACCUGGAACUCACUAUGUAGCCCAAGUCUCGAACUCACAGUGAUCCUCCUGCUUCAG
rnacentral:SRP_RNA from 1 species